UCUAACUAAUUCUUAAUUGGAUUGGGGCCUAAUUGGUUUCAUAAUUGGACUAAGACCUAAUUAGUUAGUCUGUUAUAACUAAUUCCUAAAUUGGUUAGGAUUGGGUCCAAGGAUUAGUUAGAGUUGGAACAAGUUCUCGAAUCCUAUUUGAAAUCGAAAUGAACCAACUCCUAAACCACCCAUCUAUUUAAUCCUCACGCCCCACACCUUUCGUCGUGGAAUUCCUCACACCCA
rnacentral:lncRNA from 1 species